UCUUGUCGCAUAAAAGGAAACUCCGUGAAGUACGUUGAGAUGGUCAUCAAGCGCUUGGCUUUCUGUGGAUUCCACGGGAAGUAAGCUAACCUUAUACUGCGCAAGGGCACCAGUUCUAGACAACCAUCCAGGUCCUUGGACAGUGAGGCAACAGCCCUUGCACGAGAGCCCUAGCCACACUCAUACUGUGAGUGUGGAGUCUGGGACCAGAAGGAAAAAGCUCCACGUGUUUCUGUUUGCAUGGGUCAUACACGUUGGGCGUGUGGAGAUAUAGGCCCUCCCUGAGCUCAGAGUUUUUAUCCUAGACUUUGGUAAAUGUUUGCAAAAACAAAAUGACAUCUUGCUAAAGCUUACCCCUAAGAAAAAUAAAUGACACAGAGGGAAACGUGGGAAAAUCAUCUAUUUUAAUGUAUUAUUUAAUAGUAGUAAAACAACUCAUCCAUGGCUCUUUAUUAUGCACAAAAAUUAAUCAGGUCAGGGCUAGGGAGAAAAUUAAUGUUAAUGUUUUUAGUUUCUUUUAAAAACCACUACCCUUUACCAGCUUUUAACUCUUUUAGAAUCAAUAAUAGGUAUACUGUCGUAAUUUACAUAGAGAAGUUCAGCACUUAAUUAAAUGUAAAAAUUAUUUUCAUUUUCCAAUAGAUGUGUUUCUCAAAGUGUUGUCUGGGGACUCCUGGGACACUUUCUAGCUGAUCACAUGUGGAUUAAAUGAAAGAAACAUCAGAUGGCUGGUCUUGCAAAGCUGAAGGCAGGCCAUUGACCCAGGAGUUGGUCUGAGCUUCUGGCAGAAGCAGCCAUUGUCCUGGAAAGUCGAAAUGAGGAACAAAAAGUCUGAAGUCCUGAAAAUGAUACACAUUGCAGCCUCUUUGCCUUUCUUUUACUUCCUUUAUUGUUCUCACCUCAUCAUGAAUUAGAAUGUAAUGCAGGAGCAGCAUGACAGAUCUUGCCCACUGAGCCACUAAAGGAAAAGAAAUUACAAAAUUUUUAAAUGAAAAAUCAUGAAUAAGUAAAGCAAGAGACUAUUUCUCUCUGACAUAGCAGCCUGCCCUCACUGCCCUGCAUUCUCAGAGGGAGAUGGAGACAGAGACAGAGGAAUGAAGAAGCCCAAUGGAAUCCACUCACUGAUAAACAACCAAAGGUCAUUAGUUUCUGUAACAUAAGCUUCUAAUGAGACACAUCAUCAUCACUGAAUCCCCUGUGCCCAGCUCAGAAACCUCAAGCACAACAAGUGUUCAAUAGUUUAAGUAAAAGAGUUGAAUAGUAAAAUCUGUUCUUGGCAACAUAAAAAUUAUGUGCCUACUGAAGGUGAAAUGAUUGCCGUUGGGUAAUUCCUCCACCUCCUUAGACGAAAGAAAUGUUUGCUCUCAGCACCUGAGGGCUGUUGACAUUUUUGAUACCUGGGGACUGAGUCAGGAGAGCAGGAGGUCACCACUGAGGACUGAGGUCCUUCACGCAAACACUUUAGGAGCAAGGGUGACGGUCCUGAAGGAUAAAUUAUUUUGCCAACACGGAAAUAAACCCCUCCACAGAAAAUAAAUCCUCAGGAUUGAAGUCCUCAGGCUGUGGUGAGCCUGCCCUCAGUUCUUGAGUCCAGGAGAGUUCAGGAUGAGGCCUCUGUCACUGGGGAGGAGCUG
rnacentral:lncRNA from 1 species